UCUUGAGCAGAUGACUUUUGAACUGAUCAGAAAUUAGGGGCUUCGUGAAUAUGUCCGCAAGUUGGCUUCUUGAUGAGAUGUGCAAGGUAGAAAUAAACCCCUUUGAAACUUGAUCUCUUACCACGUGACAAUCGAUCUCGAGGUGUUUUGUUCGUUAGUGGAAUACUAGGUUUGCAGCUAUAUGUUCCGUAGCCUGGUUAUCACAGUGUAGUGGUAUCGGAAGUUAAGGUUGAAGGUGAAAUUCUUUCAAAAAUAAGAGAUGGCUCUAAAAAAAAACACAAAAACAUGUGAUAGAUCUUCGAGAUACUGGGCAAGAUGCCCAAUCGGCAUCACAAAAGUCAUGCAUGCAUAGAUCACUUUUUGAUGGGAAGAAUAGGCUCUUGGACGGAUAGCUUCUUAAGUACCGAAGGACAUGCAGUGCAACGUUCUAGUGGGGUUUUCGUUGAGCUUAUAGAAAUUGGCUUAAUUAUUGGGUCACAUAGGAUAUAUCUGGAUAAGUAAUACCUAGAUAUAAUAAUCUUCCUAUGAGUCUUCGGUAAUGCUCUACAUUUUGCAGUGGUUCUUCAAAUUCAUUGUCUAAUUUUAGUCCUUUGGGCAGAGGGUAGGAGAUAGGUUUUGCAUCACUCAUUCCUGCAUCUGUAAGUAUGUCAAGUAUGUACUUAUCUGCUUGAGCAAUAUUCCUUUGUCUGAUCUUGC